ACUGAAUCUUAGGGUUUGGGAAGUCAUUAUUGAGCUUUUAAUUUUGGCAACUUCUCCUUGCUUGAUUGAUAAAGGCAACAAACUCAAGGUGAAGGCAAUCGAUCAUGAUUUUGUUGCUGAAGCUAUAACAACAUUCAUUGACAGGAUCAGUUUAAUAGGCUUGAUUGCGGAGGAAAAUAACUUUCAAGGGGUACCUCCGGGUUCUAAUGAAACGACUACCUUAGGUGUUUGAGGUGGGUCUACUAAUGUUUGUCAUUCUCUUUAUGAUUUUUCAGAUGUUACCACAUAUAUUUGUAUGGAACUGUCAAGGGUGUGCAUCACCUAAGUUUGUUAGGGUGGUUAGAGAUUACUAUGUUGAAUUUUAUAUUGAUGUAGAGGCAUUUCUUGAAACUCGAGUCAAUUGUUUGAAGGCUGAUAGAAUCAUUUCUAAAAUUGGUUUGGAUUGUUCUCACAGAAUUGAAGCUAAAGGUUAUGCUGGGGGUUUAUGCAUUUGUUGGAUAAAUACUUUUCAGAUCCAAAUUAUGCUUAAUGAUCCACAAUUUACUCUAUGUCAUUUGAGGAAAUAGGGGGAUCUAGAAGUGUUUUAGUGACCUUUGUUUAUGGUUAUCCGAACAAACAAAAAUGUAAGACUUUAUGGGAUCGUUUGAAUAUUAUUGCUCAGUCCAUUUCUGAGCCGUGGGUUUUGUCGGAGGA